rnacentral:tRNA from 1 species
GCGCCUAUAGCUCAAUUGGAUAGAGCACCAGACUUCGAAUCUGGGGGUUGGGGGUUCGAGUCCCUCUAGGCGCG